UUGCCAUGGUUUAAGCAGCCAAGCUAUUUAGGAAACCUCUCCCGACUUCAUUAUUGCCUUAUCAAGGCAGUUGUAGAUGGAGGCAGCUGCUUCUACAAAGUAUGUAUGUAUGGUGGGCGGGGAGGGGAGGAACGGAAGAUAGGCUCUGGAUAAUGGAGAAGCAGCAUAGACUAUGAGCAGCAGACAGCCGCUUUCCCGCCUUUGAAAUCCUGUAUUUAUAGCCCUGAGCAGAUACAAAAUUUGUAUCCGCGUCCAAUCCACAAAAAUGAUCCGUGGAUAUCCCCAUCUGCAUCUAUGGAUGUGGAUAUCCACGAAUAUAAAACGGAUAUCCAUGGAUGUGCAGGGCUUUACAAGGGGGCACCCAUGAGACUGUUGUGCAUUCCCCAUCCCUCUUGGCAGCCAGGAAACCAAAAAUGUAGAUAUUCUUUUCAGGCCCUUUUUCUAGUUUGCUCUGCCAGUGCAGCUGCAGGUAGCUUUCCUGUAGCUGACCCCUUGAGAGGGAAGACUCAAACCGGAGAAAUAAAGAGAGGUCAUCAUUGGAAGGUAGCAAAAUCCUUCAAUCUGAUGAAUCUUGAGUUCUGCCUGCCUGUUCCAAAAGGUGAGGUGUGGGAAGACACCAGCUUCUCUGCCAUACCAGCCCAUUCGGGCAUUGAUCUUGGCAUUAAAUACUGUCCAGUAGCUGAAGCCUU